GUACGAUUUGUUUGAAAAUUGACUUCGGCUGUCGAUCAGAUUUUCUCAUUGAUUUUUAUAUAAACUGAAGAUGACUGCAGCUGUUCCUUGGACGAGGAGAACGUGUGUUUUGCUGACAGUCAGGAGCAGUUGUAUAUCUUAGCAGAGUGCCAUGAUUAAGGAUCGACUGGUUAAUUUAAUUAACGAGUAUAUUGGCGAGUUUGUGGAGAACAUCAAUCAUGAUAACCUGAAAUAUAGUGUCUUAGGGGGUAAUGUUGAACUCAAAGAUUUGGUUCUGAAACCCAGAGCAGUG